AUACGGAGGGUGCGAGCGUUAUUCGGAAUUACUGGGCGUAAAGCGCGUGCAGGCGGGUGGAAAAGUCUGAUGUGAAAGCCCCGGGCUCAACCUGGGAAGUGCAUUGGAAACUGUUCAUCUUGAGUGCUGGAGAGGGAAGGGGGAAUUCCCGGUGUAGAGGUGAAAUUCGUAGAGAUCGGGAGGAAUACCAGUGGCGAAGGCGCCCAUCUGGACAGUAACUGACGCUGAGACGCG
rnacentral:rRNA from 1 species